rnacentral:rRNA from 1 species
AUUACUGGGCGUAAGCGCACGCAGGCGGUCUGUCAAGUCGGAUGUGAAAUCCCCGGGCUCAACCUGGGAACUGCAUUCGAAACUGGCAGGCUAGAGUCUUGUAGAGGGGGGUAGAAUUCCAGGUGUAGCGGUGAAAUGCGUAGAGAUCUGGAGGAAUACCGGUGGCGAAGGCGGCCCCCUGGACAAAGACUGACGCUCAGGUGCGAAAGCGUGGGGAGCAAACAGGAUUAGAUACCCUGGUAGUCCACGCCGUAAACGAUGUCGACUUGGAGGUUGUGCCCUUGAGGCGUGGCUUCCGGAGCUAACGCGUUAAGUCGACCGCCUGGGGAGUACGGCCGCAAGGUUAAAACUCAAAUGAAUUGACGGGGGCCCGCACAAGCGGUGGAGCAUGUGGUUUAAUUCGAUGCAACGCGAAGAACCUUACCUACUCUUGACAUCCAGAGAACUUUCCAGAGAUGGAUUGGUGCCUUCGGGAACUCUGAGACAGGUGCUGCAUGGCUGUCGUCAGCUCGUGUUGUGAAAUGUUGGGUUAAGUCCCGCAACGAGCGCAACCCUUAUCCUUUGUUGCCAGCGGUUAGGCCGGGAACUCAAAGGAGACUGCCAGUG